UGGGCUUGACAUGUCCGGAAUCCUGCAGAGAUGCGGGAGUGCCCUUCGGGGAAUCGGAGCAC
rnacentral:rRNA from 1 species